rnacentral:rRNA from 1 species
AGAGUUUGAUCAUGGCUCAGAGCGAACGCUGGCGGCGUGCUUAACACAUGCAAGUCGAACGUGAAAGGGAGCAAUCCUAAGUAAAGUGGCGUACGGGUGAGUAACGCGUAGGUAAUCUACCUCAGAGUCUGGAAUAACCUGCCGAAAGGCGGGCUAAUACUAGAUAGAGCGAAGGACUCGUAGAGAGUUUUUCGGGAAAG